rnacentral:rRNA from 1 species
UACAGUUUGAUCAUGGCUCAGAUUGAACGCUGGCGGCAUGCCUUACACAUGCAAGUCGAACGGCAGCACGGGAGCUUGCUCCUGGUGGCGAGUGGCGAACGGGUGAGUAAUACAUCGGAACGUACCCAGGAGUGGGGGAUAACGUAGCGAAAGUUACGCUAAUACCGCAUAUUCUGUGAGCAGGAAAGCGGGGGAUCGCAAGACCUCGCGCUCUUGGAGCGGCCGAUGUCGGAUUAGCUAGUUGGUGAGGUAAAAGCUCACCAAGGCGACGAUCCGUAGCAGGUCUGAGAGGAUGAUCUGCCACACUGGGACUGAGACACGGCCCAGACUCCUACGGGAGGCAGCAGUGGGGAAUUUUGGACAAUGGGGGCAACCCUGAUCCAGCCAUGCCGCGUGAGUGAAGAAGGCCUUCGGGUUGUAAAGCUCUUUCGGCGGGGAAGAAAUGGCAACGGCUAAUAUCCGUUGUUGAUGACGGUACCCGCAUAAGAAGCACCGGCUAACUACGUGCCAGCAGCCGCGGUAAUACGUAGGGUGCGAGCGUUAAUCGGAAUUACUGGGCGUAAAGCGUGCGCAGGCGGUUUCGUAAGACAGACGUGAAAUCCCCGGGCUCAACCUGGGAACUGCGUUUGUGACUGCGAGGCUAGAGUACGGCAGAGGGGGGUAGAAUUCCACGUGUAGCAGUGAAAUGCGUAGAGAUGUGGAGGAAUACCGAUGGCGAAGGCAGCCCCCUGNNNUAGUACUGACGCUCAUGCA